UAUAUUUUAGUAUAUGAUGUACACAAGUUUUUGAAACUUAAAGAAACAGUUUGAUUCUGUUAAAUGUAA
rnacentral:tRNA from 1 species